CCUACGGGUGGCUGCAGUUUCGAAUCAUUCACAAUGGGCGAAAGCCUGAUGGUGCGACGCCGCGUGAGGGAUGAAGGUCUUCGGAUUGUAAACCUCUGUCACCGGGGAAGAAACGCUUCAAGUUAAUAGUUUGAAGCCUGACUUAACCCGGAGAGGAAGCAGUGGCUAACUCUGUGCCAGCAGCCGCGGUAAUACAGAGACUGCAUGCGUUUUACGGGUGCACUGGGCGCCAAGGGUGCGAAGUGUGAAAGCCCGGAGCUUAACUCCGGAAUUGCUCCUCAAACUACAUGGCUAGAGCAUUGGAGAGGGUAGCAGAAUUCACGGUGUAGCAGUGAAAUGCGUAGAUAUCGUGAGGAAUACCAGAGGCGAAGGCGGCUACCUGGACAAUUGCUGACGCUCAGGCACGAAAGCGUGGGGAGCAAAAGGGAUUAGAUACCCGUGUAGUC
rnacentral:rRNA from 1 species